rnacentral:rRNA from 1 species
AACGAACGCUGGCGGCAUGCCUAACACAUGCAAGUCGAACGAGACCUUCGGGUCUAGUGGCGCACGGGUGCGUAACGCGUGGGAACCUGCCUUUAGGUUCGGAAUAACUCCCCGAAAGGGGUGCUAAUGCCGAAUAAUGUCUUCGGACCAAAGAUUUAUCGCCUUUAGAUGGGCCCGCGUUGGAUUAGCUAGUUGGUGGGGUAAAGGCCUACCAAGGCGACGAUCCAUAGCUGGUCUUAGAGGAUGAUCAGCCACACUGGGACUGAGACACGGCCCAGACUCCUACGGGAGGCAGCAGUGGGGAAUAUUGGACAAUGGGCGAAAGCCUGAUCCAGCAAUGCCGCGUGAGUGAUGAAGGCCUUAGGGUUGUAAAGCUCUUUUACCAGGGAUGAUAAUGACAGUACCUGGAGAAUAAGCUCCGGCUAACUCCGUGC